GACGAACGCUGGCGGCGUGCUUAACACAUGCAAGUCGAACGGAAAGGCCCUGCUUUUGUGGGGUGCUCGAGUGGCGAACGGGUGAGUAACACGUGAGUAACCUGCCCUUGACUUUGGGAUAACUUCAGGAAACUGGGGCUAAUACCGGAUAGGAGCUCCUGCUGCAUGGUGGGGGUUGGAAAGUUUCGGCGGUUGGGGAUGGACUCGCGGCUUAUCAGCUUGUUGGUGGGGUAGUGGCUUACCAAGGCUUUGACGGGUAGCCGGCCUGAGAGGGUGACCGGCCACAUUGGGACUGAGAUACGGCCCAGACUCCUACGGGAGGCAGCAGUGGGGAAUAUUGCACGAUGGGCGGAAGCCGGAUGCAGCAACGCCGCGUGCGGGAUGACGGCCUUCGGGUUGUAACCCGCUUUCGCCUGUGACGAAGCGUGAGUGACGGUAAUGGGUAAAGAAGCACCGGCUAACUACGUG
rnacentral:rRNA from 1 species